GUGUACAGAUGUGGGAGGCAUGUUGUGAUGACGGUUGGCUGCUUAUGGAGAAUCAAUGGGCAUGAGGCGCUAAUAUGUUUUGCCUUUCUCAUACGCUAAUGGCGCUGGCUGGGCGAAAUCGUUCACGGCCAUCGGAAUUUUACCCUGGAGUCUUCGGUUGGAUAUCGCAGCUCGCAAGAAGGAACAAUGUUGCCGACUACCGGAAGAGAGCAUUUGCACAUGAAGAGAAUCAGUCUUAUUCACGGGCGUGAUUUGUUGAUAGAACCGAAACGUAGCCCAAUUUCCUUUAGGUGCACCCAGCUGCAAAAAGUAAGCUGAAGUUAAAAUUAUGCUUCUCAAUUGCACGGCAUCCAAGAGAGGCAACAACUGCAUUCGAUAACCCGGAGCUCGGAAGAUUUCAGAAAAGAUGGAUCAGAACGUUAUUAAAAUAUUGAAACAAGCUGGGCAGUCAACCUGG